rnacentral:rRNA from 1 species
UACGUAGGGGGCAAGCGUUGUCCGGAAUCAUUGGGCGUAAAGAGCGUGUAGGCGGCCCGGUAAGUCCGCUGUGAAAGUCGGGGGCUCAACCCUCGAAAGCCGGUGGAUACUGUCGGGCUAGAGUGCGGGAGAGGCGAGUGGAAUUCCUGGUGUAGCGGUGAAAUGCGCAGAUAUCGAGAGGAACACCUGCGGCGAAGGCGGGUUGCUGGGCUGAUACUGACGCUGAGGCGCGAAAGCCAGGGGAGCGAACGGG